GGACCCGCACAAGCAGUGGAGCAUGUGGUUUAAUUCGAAGAUACGCGCAGAACCUUACCUACUCUUGACAUCCAGAGAACUUUUCAGAGAUGAAUUGGUGCCUUCGGGAACUCUGAGACAGGUGCUGCAUGGCUGUCGUCAGCUCGUGUUGUGAAAUGUUGGGUUAAGUCCCGCAACGAGCGCAACCCUUAUCCUUGUUUGCCAGCGAGUAAUGUCGGGAACUCCAGGGAGACUGCCGGUGAUAAACCGGAGGAAGGUGGGGACGACGUCAAGUCAUCAUGGCCCUUACGAGUAGGGCUACACACGUGCUACAAUGGCGCAUACAGAGGGCAGCCAACUUGCGAGAGUGAGCGAAUCCCAAAAAGUGCGUCGUAGUCCGGAUCGGAGUCUGCAACUCGACUCCGUGAAGUCGGAAUCGCUAGUAAUCG
rnacentral:rRNA from 1 species